CAGCAGCCGCGGUAAUACGUAGGGGGCGAGCGUUGUCCGGAGUUACUGGGCGUAAAGGGUGCGUAGGCGGCCCAUUAAGUCAGGUGUGAAAAACCCUGGCUCAACCGGGGUAUUGCACUUGAAACUGGUGGGCUUGAGUGCAGGAGAGGGAAGUGGAAUUCCUGGUGUAGCGGUGAAAUGCGUAGAUAUCAGGAGGAACACCAGUGGCGAAGGCGGCUUCCUGGCCUGUAACUGACGCUGAGGCACGAAAGCGUGGGGAGCAAACAGGAUUAGAUACCCUGGUAGUCCACGCUGUAAACGAUGGAUACUAGGUGUAGGGGGCGAUUUAGCCUUCUGUGCCGAAGUUAACGCAAUAAGUAUCCCGCCUGGGGAGUACGGCCGCAAGGUUGAAACUUAAAGGAAUUGGCGGG
rnacentral:rRNA from 1 species